UACUUCCAUUGUCACCUAUCUUCUGUAAA
rnacentral:piRNA from 1 species